AGUAGCUCAGUUGUCGGGAAUGGUUAGCCGAGGAAAUCUCUCUAUUGAGGCUUCUCCAAUGGAGGGUGUCCUGGAUAGUGACCAUAUGGUGGCUUCUUGGGAGACUCAUAUACUGGUGGUUUAGGUUCUGGCUUCUCUUUCUUUGGUGGUGCAUAAACCGGUGGCUUUGGUGGCUUAGGCUCAUACACUGGUGGCUUCUUUGGAGGCUUAUAAACUGGUGGUUUGAGUUCUGGUUUUUCUUUCUUUGGAGGUGCAUAAACUGGUGGUUUAGGCUCAGGUUUUUCCUUCUUUGGUGGUUCAUACACCGGUGGCUUGUGUUCAUGCUUUUCUUUCUUUGGUGGUGUAUAAACCGGUGGUUUAGGCUCAGGCUUUUCCUUCUUUGGAGGUUCAUAUACUGGUGGUUUCGGUUCAGGCUUCUCUUUCUUUGGAGGUGUAUAAACUGGUGGCUUAGGUUCAGGCUUCUCCUUCUUUGGUGGUUCAUAAACCGGAGGUUUAUGUUCAUAUGGUGGCGGUUUCAGCUUAGGAGGAUUAUGAACAGGAGCAGGGGGCUUCCCAUAGUUGGGAGACUCGUAGGUACCAAAAGAGGGAGUGGCGAGAGCCACCACUCCAAGUAGCAAUAUUAGCAAAUGGGUAGUAGCCAUC
rnacentral:lncRNA from 1 species